GAUGAACGCUGGCGGCGUGCUUAACACAUGCAAGUCGAGCGAGUGAGUUCUUCGGAACGAUCUAGCGGCGGACGGGUGAGUAACACGUGGGCAACCUGCCUCAUAGAGGGGAAUAGCCUCCCGAAAGGGAGAUUAAUACCGCAUAAAAUUAUCGAGUGGCAUCACAUGAUAAUCAAAGGAGUAAUCCGCUAUGAGAUGGGCCCGCGGCGCAUUAGCUAGUUGGUGAGGUAACGGCCUACCAAGGCGACGAUGCGUAGCCGACCUGAGAGGGUGAUCGGCCACAUUGGGACUGAGACACGGCCCAGACUCCUACGGGAGGCAGCAGUGGGGAAUAUUGCACAAUGGGGGAAACCCUGAUGCAGCAACGCCGCGUGAGUGAUGAAGGUCUUCGGAUUGUAAAGCUCUGUCUUUGGGGACGAUAAUGACGGUACCCAAGGAGGAAGCCACGGCUAACUACGUGCCAGCAGCCGCCGCGG
rnacentral:rRNA from 1 species